ACUGCAGUAUUAAAAGCUGCUAAUAUAAGCAGAGACAUGCUGCCCAGCCUCUUUAAGGAGGACUUGCGUGAUCUCCUUCCCGGGCCUGAGCACUUCAGAAGAAGAAGAACCAUUUGGAGACUAUAAAACCAAGGCCAGACCAAACAAGAUGGAUGUUGCUCAGCUCCUGGACCUCGAAAUCCAAGCGAGAAGGGCCUUCAUUGACUCUGAUGUUACAAAGGAGCAGGACAGGCCUUCCAAGAUUCUUAAAGCUUAUCCUUGCUUUGGAGAACUGGAUCAUCUAAUGGAUGAACUACGGCGGGUCCUCAAUCAAGGCAACUCCCACUUCUUAACGGAACUUAAGACCCGGUGGGGGACCUUUUGUGAGAGGGCACAGUUUUAUGGAGUUUUCAAAAAGCUCACGAGGCCUCCGCAGCUUGACAAAGUAAAGCACUCAAUUGCCAUGAUGAAGGCUUUACCAGAGAUGUUC